UUUGUAUAAUGGGUCAGCGACUUAUAUUCAGUGGCAAGGUUAACCAUCUAGGGGAGCCGUAGGGAAACCGAGUCUUAACUGGGCGUUCAGUCUCUGGAUAUAGACCCGAAACCAGGUGAUCUAGCCAUGGGCAGGUUGAAGGUUGAGUAACAUCAACUGGAGGACCGAACCGACUAAUGUUGAAAAAUUAGCGGAUGACUUGUGGCUAGGGGUGAAAGGCCAAUCAAACCUGGAGAUAGCUGGUUCUCCCCGAAAGCUAUUUAGGUAGCGCCUCGGACGAAUACUACUGGGGGUAGAGCACUGUUAAGGCUAGGGGGUCAUCCCGACUUACCAACCCUUUGCAAACUCCGAAUACCAGUAAGUACUAUCCGGGAGACACACGGCGGGUGCUAACGUCCGUCGUGGAGAGGGAAACAACCCAGACCGCCAGCUAAGGUCCCAAAUUACUACUAAGUGGGAAACGAUGUGGGAAGGCUCAGACAGCCAGGAUGUUGGCUUAGAAGCAGCCAUCAUUUAAAGAAAGCGUAAUAGCUCACUGGUCGAGUCGGCCUGCGCGGAAGAUGUAACGGGGCUAAGUAGUAAACCGAAGCUGCGGCAAUAUACUUUUGUAUAUUGGGUAGGGGAGCGUUCUGUAAGCGGUUGAAGGUGUGUGGUAACGCAUGCUGGACGUAUCAGAAGUGCGAAUGCUGACAUGAGUAACGAUAAAGGGGGUGAAAAACC
rnacentral:rRNA from 1 species